rnacentral:rRNA from 1 species
GACGAACCGUGCGAACGUUGUCCGGAAUCAUUGGGCGUAAAGCGCGCGUAGGUGGCCUCAUAAGUCCGUUGUGAAAGUCAAAGGCUCAACCUUUGAAAGCCGAUGGAUACUGUGAGACUAGAGUACGGAAGAGGCGAGUGGAAUUCCUGGUGUAGCGGUGAAAUGCGCAGAUAUCAGGAAGAACACCAAUGGCGAAGGCAGCUCUCUGGGACGGUACUGACGCUGAGACGCGAAAGCGUGGGGAGCGAACAGG